rnacentral:rRNA from 1 species
GACGAACGCUGGCGGCGUGCUUAACACAUGCAAGUCGAACGAUGAAGCCCUUUCGGGGGUGGAUUAGUGGCGAACGGGUGAGUAACACGUGGGUAACCUGCCCUGUACCCUGGGAUAAGCCUUGGAAACGAGGUCUAAUACCGGAUAUGACCUGCUCUCGCAUGGGGGUGGGUGGAAAGUUUUGGCGGUGCAGGAUGGACCCGCGGCCUAUCAGCCUGUUGGUGGGGUGAUGGCCUACCAAGGCGACGACGGGUAGCCGGCCUGAGAGGGCGACCGGCCACACUGGGACUGAGACACGGCCCAGACUCCUACGGGAGGCAGCAGUGGGGAAUAUUGCACAAUGGGCGAAAGCCUGAUGCAGCGACGCCGCGUGAGGGAUGACGGCCU